GCCGUAUUCCGUUACUUUGGAGUGUCUUUUUUGUCAGAUAAAAAGAAAAAAGUUUCAUUAGCCUCUUACAUAUGUCGCAGUUUCCAAUUUUAUCUCCAUCCAGAAUAAACAAUCCGUAGCACAAUAAAGAGAAAACCUUCCAUAGUAUCCCCAUAUAAUUCUACUACGAACGAUAUGUAAUAAUCUUGUUAAAAAAAUAAUAUACUAAUUAAAACCAUUUCCAAAGCUGGUACAAUAAGAGGAUGUUUCAGAAACCAUGUAUUGUUUGUUUUCGAA
rnacentral:lncRNA from 1 species